rnacentral:rRNA from 1 species
AAAUGCCCUGCUUCCAGGAAAAGCCUCUAAGCAUCAGGUAACAUCAAAUCGUACCCCAAACCGACACAGGUGGUCAGGUAGAGAAUACCAAGGCGCUUGAGAGAACUCGGGUGAAGGAACUAGGCAAAAUGGUGCCGUAACUUCGGGAGAAGGCACGCUGAUAUGUAGGUGAAGUCCCUCGCGGAUGGAGCUGAAAUCAGUCGAAGAUACCAGCUGGCUGCAACUGUUUAUUAAAAACACAGCACUGUGCAAACACGAAAGUGGACGUAUACGGUGUGACGCCUGCCCGGUGCCGGAAGGUUAAUUGAUGGGGUCAGCGCAAG